GUGCCAUUUUCCUCUGACUAUGGUCACUUUGGGGUCCACUGGGGAUCAACUUCUUCGCAUCAUGGUUGAACUUCCAACUACCGAAAUUCUUUAGCUGGAGACCGGAACCAGAAACUUUGGCAUCAGACGCUUUCCUUCAGUCGUGGCAGGACACUCGGCACUAUGCUUUCCUUCCAUUCUCCCUGAUAGCUCGGACACUCAUUCAUCUCAGAUGCUACCAGACCUGCU